rnacentral:rRNA from 1 species
UGGUGAAUAUUGCACAAUGGGCGCAAGCCUGAUGCAGCCAUGCCGCGUGUAUGAAGAAGGCCUUCGGGUUGUAAAGUACUUUCAGCGGGGAGGAAGGGAGUAAAGUUAAUACCUUUGCUCAUUGACGUUACCCGCAGAAGAAGCACCGGCUAACUCCGUGCCAGCAGCCGCGGUAAUACGGAGGGUGCAAGCGUUAAUCGGAAUUACUGGGCGUAAAGCGCACGCAGGCGGUUUGUUAAGUCAGAUGUGAAAUCCCCGGGCUCAACCUGGGAACUGCAUCGGAUACGGGCAAGCUUGAGUCUCGUAGAGGGGGGUAGAAUUCCAGGUGUAGCGGUGAUAUGCGUAGAGAUCUGGAGGAAUACCGGUGGCGAAGGCGGCCCCCUGGACGACGACUGACGCUCAGGUGCGAAAGCGUGGGGAGCAAACAGG